rnacentral:rRNA from 1 species
GAUGAACGCUGGCGGCGUGCCUAAUACAUGCAAGUCGAGCGAAUGGAUUAAGAGCUUGCUCUUAUGAAGUUAGCGGCGGACGGGUGAGUAACACGUGGGUAACCUGCCCAUAAGACUGGGAUAACUCCGGGAAACCGGGGCUAAUACCGGAUAACAUUUUGAACCGCAUGGUUCGAAAUUGAAAGGCGGCUUCGGCUGUCACUUAUGGAUGGACCCGCGUCGCAUUAGCUAGUUGGGGAGGUAACGGCUCACCAAGGCAACGAUGCGUAGCCGACCUGAGAGGUUAGUCGGCCACACCGGGACUGAGACACGGCCCAGACUCCUAGGGGAGGCAGCAGUAGGGAACCUUCCGCAAUGGACGAAAGUCUGACGGAGCAACGCCGCGUGAGUGAUGAAGGCUUUCGGGUCGUAAAACUCUGUUGUUAGGGAAGAACAAGCGCUAGUUGAAUAAGCUGGCACCUUGACGGUACCUAACCAGAAAGCCACGGCUAACUACGUGCCAGCAGCCGCCGUAA